UACGUAGGGUGCGAGCGUUAAUCGGAAUUACUGGGCGUAAAGGGCGCGUAGGCGGAUAGUUUAGUCAGAGGUAAAAGCCCAGGGCUCAACCUUGGAACUGCCUUUGAUACUGGCUAUCUUGAGUACGGGAGAGGUGUGUGGAACUCCGAGUGUAGAGGUGACAUUCGUAGAUAUUCGGAAGAACCCCAGUGGCGAAGGCGACCCACUGGCCCGUUACUGACGCUGAGGCGCGAAAGCGUGGGGAGCAAACAGG
rnacentral:rRNA from 1 species